UCUUUGCAAAGUUUGUCUCCUGGAAUGCAGAUGACACCACUCCCGCAUCUCAGGUUAGUAUUCUUUCCUUUUGUUCCAGCUGUUUUCUAUUUUGAUAGAUGAAUCAUUGGGUAAAGAAAAGCAAAGACCCUCAAAGUUUAGAGUAUUUGAUAUCAUGUCUAGUAAAACUAUGGACAAUGGGGGAAUUAGCAUGCUUACACUUGCACAAACAACGCGCAUAUCUGACAAUCUGUGUGUACGUUAAUUUAUAAUAGGUUAAGAAAUAUAUAGCAAAUUCUUGUGGCUUGAUACGAUAAAUUGCCGUGCCUGAGAUCAUAUCUAAUCAUGGAUAUGUGGCAGAACAUCCAAAUACGUCUCAAUUCUUAAGUAGAGAUUGUCUUGGGGUGUGCAUAGCUAACAAAAAGCACAAUAUUUGAAAAAUAAAAUAAAUAUCGUAAUAUGCGGUAUAACCAUUGAUGAUUUCAUUUCGUAUAUAGAUGCAUACUUAUACUGUUAUACAUGAAACAAAUGUAGGUAUCAAAACUGAAUAUGUGGAGUUUACUUAUCAUGCAUAUAUUACUGUCAUUUAUUUUAAAGCAGAAGUUCCAUAUGAUGACUUUAUUCAUUUCGAAGCACGAACUUGAAUCUGUGCUCUUAAAUAAUAUUCCCUCUGUUUCACAAAAAGAGUCGCAUUUCCAGAAUUUAAGAAUACUAAGGAUAUAUUUUUUUGGCCAUGUAUUCCCUAAACAAUAAGUUGUUACUUUUGCAGUGUGGUAUGGUAAUGACAUUAUGAUGACAAACUUGAGGACAUUGUAUCAUUUUAUACUGCUAUCACUAAAAAGUGAACUCUUUCUGCGGAAGAGUUUUUUUUGUCAAAUGGAACUCUUUUUUGGCGGACGGAGGAAGUAAUAUCUUCUUAUGUGCUGCGUAAUUAUGCAUGAUUUAGUUUGUUAGAAGAUUCAUUAUUUUUCACUUGUGGAAUCAUUGCAAGAGGUGUUUUUCAGGGCGUCAUCUAUCGAAUUGAGGCUGAGGAGGUGCUUUUGAAGUUUCCUAACGAGUUUCACAUGCAUCAUCGACCUGAGAAUGUUUACAAUAUUCAAUUUACUUAUAAUAGAGUGUGCAUGAGAAGGUUAUAUCAGGCUGUCAAAGCAGCUGAGCGUUUAGAGUCAAAUAUUCUCUUUCCAUCGGAAUCAACAAAAAGGUCAAUAAAAACGACUCCAAUCGUGCCUCUUAUGUCUCUAAACGAGGAGCAACUUCGUUGUGUUGAAAUGAUCCUCGGUUGUUAUGGUUCUCCUCCCUAUGUUAUACACGGUCCUCCAGGAACUGGUAAGACAACGACUCUUGUGGAAGCAAUCUUGCAGUUAUAUACAACAAGAGAAAAUGUUCGCAUUCUUGUAUGUGCAGCAUCAAACAGUUCAGCAGAUCACAUACUAGAGAAACUUGUUGAGAAUAAGGUGGCUAAAGUAAAAGACAAUGAGACAUUUCGGUUAAAUGCCAGUAGUCGUGUUUAUGAAGAUGUUCAACCUAACAUCAUCCGCUUUUGCUAUUUUGAUACGUCCAUUUUCAAGUGUCCGCCACUUAAGGCUUUAUUGCGUUAUAAAAUCAUCAUUUCUACGUAUAUGAGUUCAUCUAUUCUUAGCACAGAAGGUAUUGGUUGUGACCAUUUCUCCUAUAUUUUCCUAGAUGAGGCGGGACAGGCUUCAGAACCAGAAACUAUGGUUCCUCUGUCCAAUCUUUCUAGAAAGGAAGCCGUGGUGGUUCUUGCAGGCGAUCCUGAACAAUUAGGUCCAGUUGUGUACUCCCGCGAAGCAGUAAAGUUUGGGCUAAGAAAAUCUUACUUGGAAAGGCUUUUUGAUUGUGAGCAUUACAAAAAGGGGGACAAAAGUUUCAUCACGAGAUUAUUGAGAAAUUACCGAUGUCAUCCAACAAUUCUUGACCUACCCUCAAAGCUUUUCUAUGAAGGGACAUUGAUUGCAUCUAAAGAUGUUUUGUCUUCUCCCAAGUCUUGGUUAAAUAUUCUUCCCCACAAAGGAUUUAAUGUUCUAUUUUUUGGCAUUCAAGGAAGUGACGAAAGAGACGGAAAUAAUCCGUCAUGGUUUAACCGAAUUGAGGCAAGCAAGGUGAUUGAUCUUAUUAAGAAACUCACAGCGAGUGCGGAUCUAAAUGAAUCAGAUAUUGGGGUAAUAGCUCCUUAUCGCCAGCAAGUGGUCAAGAUAACCAAAGCACUCGAAGCACUAGAUAUUUCUGACGUUAAGGUUGGGAGUGUUGAACAGUUUCAGGGACAAGAGAGAGAAGUCAUAAUUGUGUCUACUGUCAGGUCGACUGCCAAGCACAAUAAGUUUGACAGAACUUACUCUCUUGGAUUUCUUAGUAAUCCAAGAAGAUUUAAUGUAGCGAUUACUCGGGCUAAAUCCUUGCUCAUUAUUGUCGGGAAUCCACACAUUGUUAGUAAGGUGCGUAUUUCUCAUUUCAAUUCUAUUAUAAUUUCCUUAUCAAGUAGAUGGUUUAGUUUUAGCUCUUUGGUAUGCAUUUAUAAGCUGAAUUCCUGCAUAAGGCUCCGGUUAUGCAACCACUUACGGUUAAAUGAGUUUUAAUUCUCUGCAGAUUUUAGUUUUCAUUUUUGUUGUUGUUGCUUUGUCCAGUUGUAUAUAUGUAUAUGUUCUUAGAGUAAAUACAUGACCCAGCACAAGCCCACCUAACACUUGAAACUACUAAUGGAUCAGAUGGCAGGUAGCCCCAGUGGCGAAGCUAGGAUUUUUAUUUAGCGGGGUCAAAAUAUUAUGAUGCUAUACAUAAUUUGGCGAGGGUUAGGGGACAGCGCCCCCGAGCCAAUUUUUUUAGAUAAUUUUGCGCUUUUUGGCCGAUUGCACAUGUAAAACGUGUAUUUGGUUACAAUAUUAUUAAUAUAACAAGUACUAACAUUAUAUAUAUAUAUAUAUAUAUAUAUAUAUACACACACACACACACACACUUAUUGACCCCUAGUACGCCUUUCUAAUCACAAAUUCGUUAAUAAAUAUUUAAAUUUCUUAUGUUAUAAAAAUAAUAUAAAUUAGAUUAUUAUUUAUUUUAAAAAUAUUAGAGGAAGAUGCAUACAUCAAGGAGUAGAAAUAAUAUGAAAUUGAGAAAGUUAUAAAAAAUUCAAUUUGACCCUGUAUAUUAAAAAAUUUAUAAAGUUUCAGUGUGGUCAAUUUAUUCAUUACAUUUAAAUUUCUUCUAAAUUUAUCAUAUAUUAUAAAAUAAUUUUUUUCCCAGUGGAAUUGACCCCACACCCUCCAACAUGGCUUCGCCCUGCAGGUAGCACAAUAUAGCACCUCUACUAGAGCAACAAUGUGAUUUUUCUAGGGCUUGAAGUACUUUUUUCAUCCUAGGAUAUGCACUGCAUAAUUGAGUUGGAUUCUUUCCGACAUAAGUGCUAGAAUUACAAGUCUUUAAUUGCGAAGAAAAGGUUGGCACAAAAUGAUAUUAAAACUAAUCAGUUAUGAUUAUCUGUAUUUGGGACAAAUGACAAAAAAUUCGCAGCAUUGGCUUGUUGCAGCUAAUCGACUUUGUUGAAACAAGAUUUUUAUUUGAUAAAACCAUAUGAAAAUAUUAUACUUUUGCGCUCAUAAACAAGGUGAGGGAAGACAGGAGCGCAUACACUGUAUGAAUAUAUGGAUAUUUGUUUUGGUCAAUGCCGGUAACAUCUGCAUCUGCAGUUCUGUGUAGGCAAAAUGAUAUUUCUUUCCAAACUUUAGUUUACUGUAAAAGCAGUAUCUAUCUUCAGUAUUCAAGUUUUUAAUGCUCAGGUAUAAUGUAAUUGAGGAUUAUAUAUUGCACAUAAAUAUACUUGAUAGACUCUACGACAGUAUUCUAAAAAUUUCCGUCUAGGUCCGCCUAGGCGUUAGGCCCCUUGUGCCUAGCGCCUCACCUAGGUCUAAGACGGCAAAAAAAUCCCUCCAAGAAAUUAGGCGGGGCCCAGGCAGAGAGUUUUUUUUUUUAAUUUUAAUAAUUACCUAAACCAGAUCUUGAUAUAUUUAUUUUUUUAAUGAUUUACCAUAUUCAUAAUACAUGUUAGUAUAUCAAAUCACAACAAGAAGUGAACAAUAUCAAGUCAAAAUAGAUAAUUUUAUUAUAGUUGUAAUUUUUUGAACUUGUUCCAACUUCAAAUUAUAUAAAUGAUGAUACAUUUGUAAUAUUUAGUUUAAUUCAAUAUAAUUCUUAAAUUUAUGUUUAGUUUCUUAAGUUUUAAUAUUGAAUUAAAUUUUUAAAAUUUAAAAUUUUAUUAUUUAAUAACAAUCUUGUUUAUGAAUAAAACUAAUAUGUUAAAAAUAUGUUUGAACUUUGAACAAUUGCAUGUUUAUGUUUGAACUUUGACAUUAGCAAUAUGGAUAUGUGUUUGAACUUUAAGCAAAUAUCUUUAUUAUCUUUAUUAUAGAUUGUUUUUCUUUAUAUUAUUGUUUUGUUUGGAUAAAUGUAAGAUAAAAUAUUAAAAUUGACUUAAAAUAAAAAAUUCCACCUAGACCCCCUAGGCGCUAGGCCUCCCUUGGCCGCUCACCUAGCGCCUUUUAGAACAUUGCUCUACGAAACGCUUGCGUGAGGUAGUCGUCGCCCGAAUCGUUUUUAACAAAGUCGUAGAGUGAAUUAUGCCUAUAUGUAGACGGUAAUCUCAGUAUAAUUGCUCGCGUUAGAAAUUCUACGUUGAAUGAACACCAAUGACACCUCGCUUAUAUUGAAGCGAUAAUAUUGGUACAAUCGACGAUUGAUGCGGUAGAAGACGCCACACACAACUAUGAUCUGUUGUAUGAUAAGUCAAUAUUGAACCUCACAGAAAAACCAUGAACAGUUCGAGAGUUCUCAAAGAACCAAAGGAGAAUAAUCUCACUAGGAUUUUAUUAAUCAAAAGUUCUCUAGUUGUUUUCUUAAUACAUCAGUUAUGUAUUCUAUUUAUACUAAUAAAAAAACCCUAAUUAUAUAAUGAAUAAGAAUUUGAAUGGAAAAAAAAAUCCUAGCCAACAAAUCACAAGGAAAUCAAAUCCUAUCAAAAGUAACCUAAUUACAAUAGGAAUCUGAAAAUAUACUGAAAAUAAUUAAUUUAAGAAGUAAAUCCGCGUCCAAAUCUAAAAAUGCGUCAACAAAAUCAACAAAACCCGACCAACUCACUGGGGCUAGUUCAAGCUCGCAGGGGCAAAGUCCAACAGAGAGCAGCUGACUGGGGUGAGUUCCCAAUUUUUAGCAAACUAGAAACCCUCAGAACUUGAGUUGAGUCGUAGUUGGUCAAUGCGAGCCCGGUUAGGAUCGUAUCAAUACUGGUGCAACAUUUUUAAUUUCUACAAGUUGCAGUAAUGUUGCCUUUGGAUUGCAAAAGUCAAAGCAGGAAUGAAAUGGAAAAAAUUGUGUUCGAUUUUUUCUAGUGGAAUGGAAUUAUUGCUAAAUUGAUAAUUUUCUUUCUUUAGGUGGUUGUGGAAUGACUCAUUCCAUUCCAUUCUUAAUUCCAUUACCUAUUCUGCUCCAUUCCUAGUAUUAUUCCGUUCCUUCAAUCCAAAUGUAGAAUUAAUAAAAAAUGCGGAGACCAACCAACCAACCCUUGAAUUAUAAUUAGGUUUAUCGGCGUACAAGGUACUAUCAUUCUGAAUCGUGGUACGAGAGCUAAAUGUUUUGUGCAGUCUAGCAUAGGUAGUGUUCCUCGUACCGAAAUUCGUUCCGUGUACCCAGUCGAUUAGCUCUCCUGGUAACCAUGUUUAUAGUGUUCCUAAUGAUAACUUCUACCUCUAUUAGGGAAAAAGAAAUAAAUAAUUUCCAUCAAAAAUAGUACUCUCUUUUUUGUUUAUUUAUGCAGCUAUAUUCACAGUCGUGUAGUUCCCUUUUCAUAUCAAUGCACUUCAAAAAGUGAGAAGCAUAGAGAAAGAUAAAUACAAAAUAUAUUUCUAUAGAUAUGGUGUUCUGUGAGCUUAGGAUUUCUACAAGGCCAUACAUAAUCUUGUAUCAAAAGAACUUCUGAGUCGCAACAUAGAGACUAGAGUUAUGUAAACAUCUUAACACCUUUUUUUUGCUAAAUUUAAGAAAAUUUAAAUAAAUGUAAAGAUAAUACAAGGUCGAGGGGCAUACCCCAUAGCAUAAUAUAGCAUGGGCAACAUAGGACAAGCCCUAAGAUGCCAUGACUAUAGAGGAUCAAAAGAACAUAGCUUACACUUUCAAGUGCUGCCGUGCCAUUUUGCGACCCCGGGGUCAUUAUUAAUCUAACUUUGUUUGUAACUGCAGGAUCCUUAUUGGCACAAGCUUUUAUGGUAUUGCUCUGAUAACAAUUCCUACCAAGGCUGUCCUCUCCCAGAAAAAUAAUAUAUGCAGAAAAAGAUCAUACGAAACAACUUGAAUUAUGAAGUUAAACUGUCUCUUAAACAAGUACUAGUCAGUCAUCAUGAAGCACAGACACUUCUCGGAGGUGGAGGUCGUAUCCGUAUCAGAUACUUGUCGACUGAGAGUAUUUUCAUUGAAUAACUUUUAAGUUAACCACUUGCUUAUGAGAAUCUCUUGCUUUAUGGUUAUGUAAAAUAUAAUAACUAAUUGUUAUAUCUAUAUAUGUACGUCUAUACAAAUAUAUAAAAUUUCAUCUUUAUGGUGAACUAAUUAUGAAGGCUGAAAGUCCACUUUGUGAUAGGCAGCUUGUGUAUGGAUUUUCCUGCUAGUUAUGUUGGCAAUCUUGAAGAAUUAGCUGUAGUCUAAUAGUUCCAUUGCUUAUUCUCCAACUAGUUAUGUAUGAUAGUACCAUUUGUUAAAAAUAUUAUUCCCCUAUGGAUAAUAAUAUAAAAUGUUACUCCUUCCUUCGUUCCUCAUUAUUGACUUUUGAAAGUUAAUUUAAUACAUUUUAAACUUGAAAUUGAGAUGAUUCAAGAAAUUAUGAAAGAAUAAAUUUUAUAAUAAAUAAAACUUUUUAGGUAGUUUGCAAUAUUUAUUCUAUUGACAAAAAAUAAAGGUAUUGAUGUCAAUUUUAUGUUUGAAAAUGUCUAAAAUUGACUUUAAAAACUCAAUAAUAAUUUAAUAUUUUAAAAUGGAGAAAGUACAAUUUUAUCAAGUUUAGCAUCAUAAUUUAGCUACUAGGUCACAACUUAAACUAAACACUUGUUAUAUUUAAGGAUUUAUAAGAAACAAAUAUAUAUAUAUAUAUAUAUAUAUAUAUAUAUAUAUAUAUAUAUAUAUAUAUAUAUGCUUUAUUUAUCAACUACAUAAUUAAAAACACAAACUUGGUUUGGUUUCAUCAAUUUUUGGUUCAACUUUCUUAUUUCUGUUAACAUAAGUACUAUCCAAAUUUGUAUAAAUUAAAUACUAUCCAAAUUUAAAAAUAUUCCUAUCAGAAUAGAAAAAAGACAGAUUUUUUUUUCUUUCCUAUUCAAAUUAGUAUAAGUACUAUACAAAUUUAUAAUAAUUAAAUAUAUAUUAUCCAAAUUUGUAAAGUAUUAAAAAAAACUCACUCAAUCUCUAAUGGAAAAAGUAACUUCUAAAAGAAUUUUAUUUUUGGUUUUUUUACCAAAUUUAAUUACAAAAAUUUUAUCACAAUUUUAUGUAAUUAAUCAAGACAAUAGAACACAUUAUGUUGUUCUCAAAAAGGUACAAAGAGAUCUAGAAGGGGGUUGAAUAGAUUCUUUAAAAUUUUCUUUUAAUAUGUUACUAGAUCAGUUAAGCAAGUUAAUUGAUUGAUAAAGUACAACAAAAUUGUAUUUUUAAAAGAAAAUUAUUAAAUCUAUAACAUUUUUUGUUAUUUUCACAACAAAAGUGUCGAUGUAGAUGUAUAGUGACGGUGAAAACCUUCACUAUAGAAUCUAUAAUAACACUUUUGUUGUGAAAAUAACAUUUUAUGUUGUUGAUUUAACAAUUUUCUUUUUAAAACCAUUCAAAGAUUAUAAGAAAAUGCACAGUUCUAAAUUUAGUGAGCAAUUGUAGAGACAAGUCCCAUACACAAAUGUAAAGUGACAGAAAAUGAAAUGCAGAAAGUUAAAGAACACGAGAUUUUUAAGAGAUUCACAACAUAAAAAUAUUUUAGUUCUUUUGUUGUGGAUGCUUUAUUUACUCGCAAGUGCACGAAUCGAAUACUUAAUAUAGCUUACAACUGCGAGGUCGAACCCUAAGGAGUUGAUGGAUGGAACGUGUUUAUCUAACUCACUAAUUAUAAUUAAUUCCUAAUCUAGCUUAGAAAUUUUGAGGGAAUUUUUAUCAACUAAAAAUACGCAAAUAAAAUAAUCAAUGAUAAAAUACUAGGGUGACAAAAUCAUAUACUUGAUAUCAUUUUCCUAAUAUUCAUGCCCAAUACUCUACUUUUAUCUCUCACUAAUUUGGUCUCGACUUUAUUAGAUGCGGAAAAUAAAAUCAAUUAAGUCCAAUUAAUUUAUAAAAUCAAAUUGUGAAUUCUUUCAUAGCCAAACAUAUGUAUAAAAUCAAAACACUCGUUAUUUCCAUCAAAACACAGUUUAUAUCCGCUUUGAACAAAUUACAAACCGAAUCCAAUAAAUAAUAAUGAGAAUCCAACCUUAUUUUUUUUAUGAGUAAAAAAAUAGACAUCCAAUAGAAAGAAUUAUUUUUAACGCGAACAGGGACGGAGCUACAUGGAUGUUAGAGGGGGCCACGGCCCCCCCAAGGUUUAAAUUUUUGUAAGAUUCACUCCAAUGUUUGAAAAUUUUAUAAAACUCACUUGUACAUUUGGUUUGUUUUGAAAAUUUUGUAAGACUACGGCCCCCAAGUUUUGACGAAGUUUUGAUAUGUUUUAAAAAAAAUUUCCACCCCCCAAAGAACAAAUCCUGGCUCCGUCCCUGAAUGCAAAAACACUAAAUUGAUAGAAUAAAUUGGCAUGAAUAUGUGCAAUAGAAUCAAUCAAUUAUACUCAUCCUCGACCCUAGAAAAUAAUUAACAUUGCAUGAUUGAAAUUAGAACACAAUGCAUAAUAAAAUAAUCCAUAAUUAACCUAACAGAUUACUCAUUUGAAUAUACUAAUUAAUUGAAGAAGGAAGUAAAAUAAAUUUUGAAAUUCAAAAUUAUUCUGCUCUAAAUAAGAAACAAUGCUAUCUUAUCAUUUAAAAGUAAAGAAUAAACUGAAUAAACAAACUGGCCAACAAAAGAGGCUCAAAUGGUUCAAUAUAUGUAAAACAACUCCUACAGUAAGACUUUAAUUGCCACAAAAUGCUCAAGAUACUACAUCUAUAUGAGAAUAAAUGAAAUAACUUCAAUAAUACCUCCAUUUUGGCUGCCAAAGAUAAACAGGCUACAACUGCAUCAUCCAAGAUUUGCUAUUUUGUAAGUCAUAGGCAGAAAAGAAUAUGUCCAAAUAGUUCGGAAACAAAUACGCACUAAAAAAAAUCGACAACUAAAAAAAAAGGCCCCUCUUAUGAGCUUCAGAUUCAGAAUAAAACAGGAAAAAAUCUGAAGGAUCUGUUUUUUGGUUUGCUGCCGAACUCCCCAUUUCUCUCAGAUCUGCUCCCCUUAUUUGAUCUCUUCCUUGGUUCUCGCGCUACUGAGUUUAUCCCCCUCUAUCUAUAUUUGAUCCAUCUCUUUUAAAAACAAACCCUCAUUCCUUGUCUACCGUAAACUGCAAAUUGUGAGGAACAAAUAAAACUGGGCUGCUACCCAUAGGCCCAAUCCUGUCUUUAC
rnacentral:lncRNA from 1 species